rnacentral:rRNA from 1 species
UACGUAGGGGGCAAGCGUUGUCCGGAAUCAUUGGGCGUAAAGCGCGUGUAGGCGGCUCGGUAAGUCUGCUGUGAAAGUCCAGGGCUCAACCCUGGGAUGCCGGUGGAUACUGUCGAGCUCGAGUCCGGAAGAGGCGAGUGGAAUUCCUGGUGUAGCGGUGAAAUGCGCAGAUAUCAGGAGGAACACCAAUGGCGAAGGCAGCUCGCUGGGACGUGACUGACGCUGAGGAGCGAAAGUGUGGGGAGCGAACAGG